rnacentral:misc_RNA from 1 species
GAUGAAGAACGUAGCGAAAUGCGAUAAGUAAUGUGAAUUGCAGAAUCCAGUGAAUCAUCGAAUCUUUGAACGCACAUUGCGCCCGCCAGCAUUCUGGCGGGCAUGCCUGUUCGAGCGUCAUUUCAACCCUCGACCUCCCUUUGGGGAAGUCGGCGUUGGGGACCGGCAGCACACCGCCGGCCCUGAAAUGGAGUGGCGGCCCGUCCGCGGCGACCUCUGCGUAGUAAUCCAACUCGCACCGGAACCCCGACGCGGCCACGCCGUAAAACACCCAACUUCUGAACGUUGACCGCGAAUCAGGUAGGACUACCCGCUGAACUUAAGCAUAUCAAUAAGCGGAGGA